rnacentral:rRNA from 1 species
AUUGAACGCUGGCGGCAUGCUUUACACAUGCAAGUCGAACGGUAACAGGCCUUCGGGUGCUGACGAGUGGCGAACGGGUGAGUAAUGCAUCGGAACGUGCCCAAUCGUGGGGGAUAACGUAGCGAAAGUUACGCUAAUACCGCAUAAGCCCUGAGGGGGAAAGUGGGGGACCGCAAGGCCUCACGCGAAUGGAGCGGCCGAUGUCAGAUUAGCUAGUUGGUGGGGUAAAGGCCCACCAAGGCGACGAUCUGUAGCGGGUCUGAGAGGAUGAUCCGCCACACUGGGACUGAGACACGGCCCAGACUCCUACGGGAGGCAGCAGUGGGGAAUUUUGGACAAUGGGCGCAAGCCUGAUCCAGCCAUGCCGCGUGCGGGACGAAGGCCUUCGGUUGUAACCGACUUCUAGCCGGAAAGAAAUACGCCGUUUUAACUACUAGACGGUGGAUGACGGUA